UGCCUUGCCACAUGGCAAAACAUAACAAUUCAAUAUCCUGUGUUAGUAGACUUUGAAAGUUAAGAUUCAAAGGUUGAACGCUUGGGGGAUUGCAUACAC
rnacentral:sRNA from 12 species